CCUCGCGCUCUCUCCCCCCCCCCCCCGCACCUCCCGCCCAAAGCGACGACGCAACCAAUUGGCCAACCUGAGUCUCCCAUUUGGGCUGGUUUACUUUCCAGAGUUCAAUUCUCCGCCACCUUCCCUCUCCGCCACACACCCCACCACCACACGCGCGCGCUGCCUCGGACGCCUCCUUCCCUUCCCUUCCCUUCCCUUGCCCUCCCCCCCCCCCAGCCGCCGCUGCCGCCGCCGUCGAGCUUGGUUUCCUCAGGGUCGAGGGUGGUGCUGGCGGUGCCCCCCCCCGCCGUCAGGAAAGACCGAGGUCUGAGGGUGGGGGAGGGGGGUCUCCGUUUUACCUGAGGGAGGGUGAGGGGAACCAAAGAAGGAAGGGGGGAAAGAACACACACACACACACACACACACACACACACACACACAGCCUCCCGUUCCCCUUCCCGCCUUCUCUCCGCUCGCUAUCCAGCCGGACCAUUGGACCGACUAGCCCGCCUGCCUGCCUCCGCUCUGCAGCCCCUCCGCUCCCGCCUCAGCCGAGGAAUCCUGCCGCCGGUCUUGCCGCUCGCUUCUGCCUGCCGCCGCUGCCUCUAACCCCGGCCGUCGGCUAGGCAAGGCUGGGCUGGGCGGUUCUCCUAGAGCAGAGGCGCGAGGCGCGCAGCCCCGGGACUCGGCUCGCCGCCGCCGCCGCCGCGCGCGAGUCACCCCGGCUGAUGACGGAUCAUUAAGAAGAAGUGGCCUUAGCGUCCCGUCCUCCCUCCCCGCUCCCCGCCACCUGGCGCCUCUCUUUUACAGCAGAGGAUGCGCGCGGAUAAGUGGCGGAAGAGGGGCGUGCGCGCGCGCGCGUGUGAAGAUGGUGAUGGAGAUGGACCGGGAGAGCCAUCCUCCUCCUCUCCCGAUCCCCAACUGCAGGCAUCUAUUUCUCUCUCUAUAUAUAUCAAAGGAGACUUCACUAGUUUCUCCUUGACAGGGGCUGAUCUGUUAACCCAGGAACUACCUAGAAGGUUGGUAUCAUUGUGGAAGAAAAUCCUUCAUUUCCUGUGUGCUCAACUCUUUCCAGGUUUUCUGAUCAUGGGGUCUUUGAAGUUUCCGAAGUCCUGUGUGUUCCAAAGUUAUUCAACAUUCACAACCUCGGUGGUGGAUCCAUCAUGCGUUCCUGGUGUCAAUGAACUUCAUGGACUUGCAGAAAUAGAAGAGCGGGGAAAAGUAAGGCUACCUGUGCUGUAAUUAGAAUGAUGAUCUGUCCCAUUGUCAAUGAUUUCCAUUUAAGCAUUAUUAAAAUCUUAAUCGAGAAUAUACUUUCAGUCUAACUGGAACUGGGCAAUUUAUUCUUAAAUUCCACUAUAAUAUGUAUGCUUCGUUUUUCAAAAGAGCUGUGCCUUCUGGGAAACCUAGAACUGAUUCCAACUAUCUGUCUUAAGCAGAUCCAAGAAAUGUUUGCAUGAAACUAGAUGCCGGAAGCCAGAAGGCCUUUCAUAGGCACACUUGUGUGAUGAGUCGUCUCCUCCUUGUCACAAAGUUGCAUCAUUUUUGGCUAUGGCCUGCAUAUUUUUGGAAUGCAGCAUUAAGAGGAAAUAAUUGGCCAAUCCUGAAAUUUAGCCAAGAGUUCUGAACUCCUACCUAACUCUUGUCUUUCUUCUUCAUAUUUGUCAUUUCAAUCUGCCAGCGUUUCAGUCUUCCAGCCCGAAUUCUUUCUAUGCAAUUUAAUAAAGUACUUUUUUUGGGGGGGUAGUAAUAUCCCAAAUGUGUUUUGGAAAAUUGUAUGGAAAGUCUUGUAGAAGGUGUAUGAGUAAUUGUGCUCACAACAUGUCUGUCAAACAUACUGGGGAAUAAUCAAUUAAGUUUUACCCAGAGUAGACUCAUUGAACAUGACUAAGUUAGGCUCAUUAGUUACAAUGGGUCCAUUCUAAGUAAAGUGUAUUUAAAUACCACUCAUUGUGUGUAUGAAGAUGCUUUAAUCUUCAGGGCAAGAACCCAUUAAUCACCUGGAACAGCUCCAUUACAUAACACAGGGAUAAGCUUAAUUCAUGUUUCUACAGUGUAUUCCUAUGUGCAGGUCCUCUUGUGUUCAAUGGGGAUUACAUUAUUGUUAUUUAAAAUUUUUGGUCACCUUUUUCAAAAAGCCCCAAGGCAACUUGCAGAAAUAGAAAAUGUAUAAAAGAAAUAUUUUAAAAUAAAAAUUAUAAACUUAUACAUUUUGUAAGUUUAAAACCAGUAAAUAAACAACAACAAAUCCAUAUAAUACUAAAAACAUGUACCCCAUAAGUAUCAACAAAAUCAAAUGUUAAGUUUAAAAGAAUUUUGAUUUGGAAAACCAUUAAAAUGAUUCGCACUGAAAUCCAAUUGGGGGAUACGAGGAAGUCACUUAACAAUGUUAAUAAGAUUAGUUUUAAUAAGGUUAUGAUUUAUGUUUGUCUGUUUGUAUGUUUGUGUGUUUAUAAUUUUGUGAAAAUCAAUAAUUUUUUUUGAAAACAACAACCCAAAAUCAAAUGUGUGCAUGGUUAAGUGCAGCCUUAGUGUGCUGGAUGAACUGGGCUUCCAAGUAAGUCUCUUAUUUUUAGACUGUCACAAAAGGGUGACGCUAUUGUGCACACCUGUGAAACUGGAACAGAACAACUCCCCAGCUGAAAAGCUGAAUAUUGUGUUAUUAUUAUUUAUUUAAUUUGUAUACCGCCCUAUACCUGGGGGUCUCAGGGCAGUAAGACUCUCAGAGACUUUUGAAUGUAUAAAGUGAUAUAAAGUCUAAUUAAUCAAAUUAAAAUUAAGUAGAAUCAAUAGAAAAGAAACUGUGGACCAGGUAAGAAACAAUAUUUCAAAUCCACAGAGGUGGACAAAUUUAGCAAGAAUGAUGAGCGAAGGAGAUGUCACAGAUUUGCUUCUGCCUACUCACAGUGAUUACAACAGAGAAAUUCCAAGCUGAAUAUAAGAUUGUGCGCAUGCACAUUUAGUUGGUUGUACUUUGAAACAAUGCAUCGUAGCUCAGUGACAGAGAAUCUUCUUGGAAUGCAGAAGUCUCAGAUUCAAUCCCUGUCAUCUCCAGCCGUUGUCCCAGAGAGCUACUGAACUAGGUGGAACAAUGGCCUGAUUCAGUAGAAGGUAACUUCCUACGUUGCUAUGAUUUACUUACAGCUUUUAAGCAUGAAAGCCAAAGCUGUACUAAUUCCCAGCUGUGAAUAAUUCAGAUUAGAUACUCAUUAAAUUAACAUUGAUAGCCUAUCUGAUGGAAACAUCAUUGCUGGAUUAGUGUUCUUGCACUAAAUCUGAAGGGCAGGGCUGGGAGUAGAGUUUUUUUU